AGCCAUGCAAGUACAAGUAUAAGCAAUUUAUACGGCGAAACUGCAGAUGGCUCAUUAAAACAGUCUUAGUUUAUGCGGUGGACAAAAUCACAUGGAUACCUGUGGUAAUUCCAGAGCUAAUACAUGCAAGAAGACCCGACGCAAGGAGGGUUGCACUUAUUAGAUAAAACACCAAUGCCCUUCGGGGCUCUGGUGAGUCAUAGUAAUUAAUCGGAUCGCAUGGCCUCGCGCCGGCGAUAGACCGCACAAAUUUCUGCCCUAUCAGCUUUUGAUGGUAGGAUAUGGGCCUACCAUGGCUUUAACGGGUGACGGAGAAUUAGGGUUCGAUUCCGGAGAGGGAGCCUGAGAAACGGCUACCACAUCUAAGGAAGGCAGCAGGCGCGCAAAUUACCCAAUCCCGAUACGGGGAGGUAGUGACAAGAAGUAACAAAGCAAGUGGCUACGCCAUUUUGCUAUUGGAAUGAGUAGAAUUUAAAUCUCUUUUCGACUAUCAAUUGGAGGGCAAGUCUGGUGCCAGCAGCCGCGGUAAUUCCAGCUCCAAUAGCGUAUAUUAAAGUUGUUGCGGUUAANAAGCUCGUAGUUGGAUUUCUUCCAGGGGCAGCCGGUCCACACUACGUGUGCGUAUCUGGUUUGACUUUGGAAUCCUCUUGGGGAACGGCUCUGCGCUUAAUUGCGUGGACCGGUAUUCAAGACUUUUACUUUGAGGAAAUUAGAGUGUUCACGGCAGGCAAUCGCCCUGAAUACAUUAGCAUGGAAUAAUAAUAUAGGAUUUCGGUUCUAUUUUGUUGGUUUCUAGAGCUGAAAUAAUGAUUAAUAGGGACACUUGGGGGCAUUCGUAUUAUCACGUCAGAGGUGGAAUUCUUGGAUUGUGUUACGACGAACUACUGCGAAAGCAUUUGCCAAGGAUGUUUUCAUUGAUCAAGAACGAAAGUAAGGGGAUCGAAGACGCUUAGAUACCGUCGUAGUCUUUACCAUAAACUAUGCCAACUAGGGAUUGGAGGGCGUUCUUCAUUCACUC
rnacentral:rRNA from 1 species